CUUCCGCUUCAGUGGGCAGCUAGCUCUUCAGGUUGUUACCUUUUGGACUUUCGAAUGAGUCAUGUCAACUUUUUCCAAGCUCUCAAUCUGCUAGUAUAAAAGGCGUCAAGAUCGCGACGCUCAUUCUCGCACUCACCACUGACAGCGAGAGCCACGUUGCUCUGGUCCACCUGCUGCGCCGGCCGUACAACAACGUGUAAACGUGACAAGCCUCUAGUUGCACUUUGGGCGUGCUUCCAUCUUGCAAGCUCAAAAGUUUGCAGAAGCUAGCGUUAGCAGUUAACAUCUCCAACGACCACCAAAACGCAUUUAUCUGGCGUGCAACUAAACAAUUUAAGAAUGCAACGGUGGCCACGUCUGGACGACAGCGCCGUUUGGCCGAAGGUGCAAACCCUCAAAACGAGCCUGUCAUGGCCGACUGACUUUGCAGGCCUGCAUCUGGAACCGAGGGAACAGGCUGACUGCAAAGUGGCAAAAAAAAAUAUUAGCAAGGCAUCUUGUCAAAUUGACUAAAGCAAACAUUUGUUCUUUUUCUUUUGUCUGCAGGGUCCAAAAUGGCCACCUUGCAGUCCUCGCAUGGCUUCAUGGGACACUUGCAGACCAGCGAGCUGUAGUUGGAGAGACGUCCGGUGCUGCUCUCCAUUCAUCACUGGUGGGACCAAAGGACCAAGUUUCUGUUGCAUGGUGAAGAUCUACAUGGUUUUAAUCUUGUGGCAUCAUAACCUCUUGUCCAGAGCACUUUCCAGUAAAGAUGCAGUUGGAACAUCCGCUACCUGCUGGCCAAAGAUAAAAUCCCUCCAAAGUCAUGCAGAAGUACUUCCAGGUAUCCAUCCUGGAGAAUUUUUACAACAUUUCAGGAACUCUGCCUGCAGAGGUGGCAAAUCCAGGUCCAGAAAGUGAAAAGCCUGCCACAAUUUGUCUUAAGCCUCUGAGCUUGUUCAUCUGGAUCUGGGCUGCCUGAAGAGUCCUCCGCUGUGUGGACCACCAGCCGCUCGUAGCGGAAGCUGAGGACAAGAGCAAAGCCACAUACCAGCAGCACUUUCUUAUUUACUCAGCUCUAAGGCAACCUGAGAAGAAGCAAAGAACAAAAUCAACUUCCUGAGUCAUGCAGCAAGGAACAAAAUUGGCUUCCUGGUCAUGCAGCUUGCAGUACGUGGUGCCAUAAACAACUCAACUUGCGCACUGGUCCAGGCAUGGAGUACCAGUCUUCCCACCGGCCGACCACUCGUCCCACCGGCCGACCACUCGUCCCACCGGCCGACCACUCGUCCCACCGGCCGACCACUCGUCCCACCGGCCGACCACUCGUCCCACCGGCCGACC